rnacentral:rRNA from 1 species
UGGGGAAUAUUGGUCAAUGGACGCAAGUCUGAACCAGCCAUGCCGCGUGGAGGAUGAAGGUCCUCUGGAUUGUAAACUUCUUUUAUCUGGGACGAAGCACUUCUUUUCUAAGAGGCCUGACGGUACCAGAUGAAUAAGCACCGGCUAACUCCGUGCCAGCAGCCGCGGUAAUACGGAGGGUGCAAGCGUUAUCCGGAUUCACUGGGUUUAAAGGGUGCGUAGGUGGGUAUGUAAGUCAGUGGUGAAAUCCCCGAGCUUAACUUGGGAACUGCCAUUGAUACUAUAUAUCUUGAAUACCGUAGAGGGAAGCGGAAUAUGUCAUGUAGCGGUGAAAUGCUUAGAUAUGACAUGGAACACCAAUUGCGAAGGCAGCUUACUAUGCGGUGAUUGACACUGAGGCACGAAAGCGUGGGUAGCAAACA